rnacentral:lncRNA from 1 species
CAGUUAUAAAAAAUUAACCCAGCUAACUUUUAUUGGCUUGUUUUCUUAGACGACCAACAUGGCGCUCCCCUGAACCCCUGGACCACCAAGUUAUGUUGCGUGACAGGAGUGACUGAAAUGUGUGGAAAGGACUGCUCUCAAGGGAUUGUUUAAGAAGUAAAUGAGAAAACAUCUCUCACCUAUGAUGAUAGGUCAUCUAGGAGAUAUCAAAACCUUCAGAAAUCAGACAAAAUGAAGGAAGUUCUUGGGAUGUGAGAUCUGAGUAAAGCAGUCAUGGGGAGGAUUCCCACAGCACUGGAAAAAAUUAGAAGAAGCAGCAAGAUGAUAUCAGAAACAAUCUGCCUAUUGCACCAUGUUUUCUUCUAACAACAGCCUGCUCUUCCAACCUACUGUGUAUGCUGCGUCUGAUUCUUAGAUGACACUACGUUUGACAAUAACUAUACCAAUGGACUUAAUGGAAUUUCAAAGAACUCCUUAUACCUACAAGUGCAGCAAACAUGUACCAGAUGGGAACUACGUGUCUGGCUGCCCCUUACUAUACUGUUCAAAAUGGUUACAUAAGAAAGAAAUAGUCAAAAUAUGCAAAUGCAAAAUUCUAAGAAAGAAUUACAAGCAAUAAUAAUUAGAGGGGAAAAUGAUAGGUAUUAGCAUUUUUAUAUCCAUCAGAGUUGGAGAUAAAAGAUUUUUAAAACUUUGUUUCAGUCAGCUUUCUCACUGCUGAGCAAAUAAUUGUAAAGGAGGAAAAGUUAAUUGUAAAGGAGGAACCUUUACAACCAGAAUAAUUGUAAAAGAGGAAAAGUUUAUUUGGUGGCUCAUGGUUUCAGAGGUCUCAGUCCAUAGACAGCCGGUUUCAUUCCUUGGGACUAGCAGUGAGGCAUAACAUCAUGGUGGAAAGAUGUGACAUAGGGAAGCAGCUCACAUGAUGAUCAGAGAGCAGAAAGAGAAAUCUCCACUUGCCAGAAACAAAUACAUACCCCAAAGCCACACCCCCAAUGCCCAUCUCCUUCAGCCACAUCCCACCUGCCUUCAGUUACACUCAAUUAAUCCCAUGGGGUGAUUAAUUCACUGACUGGGGUAAGGCUCUAACCCAAUCACUUGUUCUCUGAACUUUCUUGCAUUGCCUCACACAUAAGCUUUGUGGGACACCAACCAUAAUAAAUUUACAUACAUUUUUAUGCAGGAAAUAUCACAGA